rnacentral:rRNA from 1 species
UACGAAGGGGGCUAGCGUUGCUCGGAAUCACUGGGCGUAAAGCACACGUAGGCGGACUCUUAAGUCGGUGGUGAAAUCCUGGAGCUCAACUCCAGAACUGCCUUCGAUACUGAGAGUCUCGAGUCCGAGAGAGGUGAGUGGAACUGCGAGUGUAGAGGUGAAAUUCGUAGAUAUUCGCAAGAACACCAGUGGCGAAGGCGGCUCACUGGCUCGGUACUGACGCUGAGGUGCGAAAGCGUGGGGAGCAAACAGG